rnacentral:rRNA from 1 species
GUCCACGCCGUAAACGAUGGGUGCUAGGUGUGGGCGGUGUCGACUCCGUCCGUGCCGAAGCUAACGCAUUAAGCACCCCGCCUGGGGAGUACGGCCGCAAGGCUAAAACUCAAAGGAAUUGACGGGGACCCGCACAAGCAGCGGAGCAUGUGGAUUAAUUCGACGCGACGCGAAGAACCUUACCAGGGCUUGACAUGCACUGGAAUGUCGUGGAAACACGGCAGCCCUUCGGGGCUAGUGCACAGGUGGUGCAUGGCUGUCGU